rnacentral:tRNA from 1 species
UCCCUGGUAGCUCAAACGGUAAAGAAUCUGCCUGCAAUGCAGGAGACCAAGUUCAAUCCUUGGUCGGGAAG